GUGUCAGCCGCCGCGGUAAGACGUAGGGGGCUAGCGUUGUCCGGAAUUACUGGGCGUAAAGAGCUCGUAGGCGGCCUGUUAAGUCGGGUGUGAAAGCCCUCGGCUCAACCGAGGAAUUGCACUCGAUACUGGCGGGCUAGAGUCUGGUAGAGGGAGGUGGAAUUCCCGGUGUAGCGGUGAAAUGCGCAGAUAUCGGGAGGAACACCGGUGGCGAAGGCGGCCUCCUGGGCCACGACUGACGCUGAGGGGCGAAAGCUGGGGGAGCGAACAGGAUUAGCUACCCUGGUAGUCCCAGCCGUAAACGAUGGGCAAUAGGUGUGGGGGGUUACCAACUUCCUCCGUGCCGAAGCUAACGCAUUAAGUGCCCCGCCUGGGGAGUACGGCCGCAAGGUUAAAACUUAAAUGAAUUGACGGGG
rnacentral:rRNA from 1 species